UAACGUCCUGUUCAUCGCCCGCCGCCAUUUCUGUUUCUUGAAAGGCUUCCAAAACCCUAAACCCAUCGGGGAUUGCUCGUCGGUUUAGAUGGGAAUUCCGGCUUUUUACCGGUGGCUGGCCGACCGUUACCCCCUUUCCGUGGUGCAGGUCUGCGAAGAAACUGCCAAAAUGGUCAAUGGGGUCCGGAUCCCAGUAGACACUACCAGGCCGAACCCUAACGGCGUCGAGUUCGACAACCUCUACCUGGAUAUGAACGGCAUCGUCCACCCUUGCUUCCAUCCGGAAGACCGGCCUGCUCCCAAGUCGUAUGAUGAAGUCUACAAAGCUAUUUUUGCUUACAUUGAUCACAUUUUCUCCAUGAUUCGUCCCCGGAAGCUCCUGUACAUGGCAGUUGAUGGAGUGGCACCCAGAGCAAAGAUGAACCAGCAACGGGCGAGGAGGUUUAGGGCUGCUAAAGAUGCUGCAGAUGCGGAAGCAGAAGCAGAGAAGCUGAAGGAUGAGUUUGAAUCGCAUCUUGAGAAAUUUUGUCAUCAACAAACGAGCAAAAUGGAUUCUAAUGUCAUCACGCCUGGAACUUUGUUCAUGGAUUGUUUGUCGUCUGCUCUUCGGUACUAUAUUUGUUUGAGAUUGAACAAGGAUCCUGGAUGGCGGAGUGUUAAGGUCAUUCUUUCUGAUGCUAGUGUGCCGGGUGAGGGUGAACACAAAAUAGCAGCAUAUAUUCGCUCCCAGAGAAAUCUUCCUGGUUUUGAUCCAAACACAAGACAUUGUUUGUAUGGUUUGGAUGCUGACUUGAUAAUGCUUGCUCUAGCAACACACGAGAUACAUUUUUCUAUUUUAAGAGAGGAUGUACGUGUUGCAAAAUUUGAUCAAAGAAAUUCAAAAUCUGUUUACAAAAAGAAGUGUUCAAAUAAAGGAGAAGAAGGAAAAGAGUCCAAUCAUGACAUUGGUUAUGAAGAUUCAAGAAAGAAGUUCCAGUUUCUCAAUAUAUGGAUUUUAAGAGACUAUUUGCAGCACGAAUUGAAAGUAUUUGGUGCAAAUAUGAAGAUUGACUUGGAGCGUUUGAUUGAUGAUUUCGUUUUCAUUUGUUUGUUUGUUGGAAAUGACUUUCUUCCCCAUGUUCCUUCUCUCGAAAUUUCAGAGGGAGCAAUUGAUCUUCUUACGAUGGUCUAUAAAAAGGAAUUUGCUGCAAUGGGUGGCUAUUUAACAAAUUCUUUUGAGGUGAAUCUAGAGCGAGUUGAACACUUUCUUCAAGUUGUUGGAUCUCAUGAAAGUGCCAUCUUUCGAAAGCGGGUCCAGUUACAGAAAGAAAGAAAUAGUCAUUCCAAGGGUCCUAAUUCCAUGGCAAUUGAGCCACAAGUAGAAUGUGCAUGGAUGGAGAGCUUUGAGAGGUCUUCAAAUUCAUUUGGCAGAAAUAUAUCAGAUAGAAUAUCAUGUGCCACUGCAGAACAUUUUCAGGUAGGGCAGGGAGAAGAAGAUUGGAAGGAAAAGUACUACUCAGAGAAGUUUGAAGUCAACUCUAAAGAUGAAUGCCAAAGAGUGAAGCAAAAUACAGUAAAACACUAUGUGGAAGGUAUCUGCUGGGUCAUGCACUAUUAUUAUCAAGAAUUUCAUUUUUCAGGUUUUAUCCACAUCACUAUGCUCCAUUCGCAUCUGAUUUUGUUGGUUUGAAGAACUUAGAGAUCCAGUUUAAAAUUGGUGUUCCGUUCAAGCCAUUUGAUCAGCUCAUGGGUGUACUACCUGCUGCAAGUGCACACGCACUGCCUUCAUCUUACAAGGAUUUGAUGAUCAAUCCGUCUUCUUCAAUAAUUGAUUUUUAUCCAGCAGAUUUUGAGCUUGAUUUGAAUGGCAAGCGUUUCUCUUGGCAGGUUUUUUUACAUUCCACAUCUUUUCGUAAUUAAGUUGAUGUAUUUAUUCCAUAUACAACUGACAUUGUAUUGUUUGCCUUCCAAUUAAAAUUCCAAGUAGCCUUUGAUUCUAUUAUCAACUUGCCGGUUUGUUUUACUUGUUUCAGUCAUAUGCAUGCAACUUUAGUCCCCCCAGUAUCAGUUGAGGUUCGAUCUGUUUUGGCCUGUUCCAUAAAAAUUCCUCUUUUUUUCAGCCAGUAUGGGCCAAGAUAGAUCGGCAUGGGUGGUCAUGUUCAUCCAUGCCAGUACUUCACCUCUCUCAGUUGAUUUGCAGAAUGAGACACAGGCAUACCUAUUGAAAUGACAUGAUAUUUAGAUCUUGAUAUAACUUUAACUAAAUAUUAAUAGUCAUAAUAUAUUGUUAUUAUCAACUGAAAUUGCCCUUUCAUUACUUUUUGUCUUUUCCCAGUUUAAUGCUUGAGCAAUUUUUGUCUUCUAUUUUUUUUUCAUGUUCAGUUUAACCUCUAAAGUCUAAAGGAGAUGUGGAAAUGCUAGUUUCUGAAAAGUAUUUUAAAAGUUGUCAUUUACAGAAUAGUAGGUAGUAAAGGAACAUUCUUCACUACAUCAUUGAGAUGUGAGAUCUGUGGUGCCUUUCUUUUGUCAAAUUUCAGUUUAUUUUUCUCAGGGUGGUAAACAAUAAUUUCUCUUUCCCCUCCCUCUACUCUGUGUCAGUUUAUUGGAGGUAAGGAAUAUAAGAAACAGAGAAAGACACUGAUGGCCAUUGUUAAAGUUUUCUUCACAUAGUCUUAGCAAAUAACUGUUUAUCUAUAUAUAUAUAUAUAUAUAUAUAUAUAUAUAAUAGUUCUAUUGUCCUUUUAGCAAGGAAACGUACAUGUUUGUGGCAAAUAUUAGAGUUAGAAAUAAUUUGCUAUAUGAUUGUUCUAUCUAGACUAAUUAUGCACUCUAAUUCAUUUACUUAUCCAGGCUGUAUGUAAACUACCAUUUGUUGAUGAAUCACGACUUCUUGCAGAAAUAAAAAGAGUUGAAGACACGCUAACGGAGGAGGAAAAGGAAAGAAACAGCUGGACUAUGGAUGUGCUCUUUGUUCAUUUCUCGCAUCCAUUAACAUCAAAGAUCCUAUCCUUUUAUCAGAGGAAGAAGGAUAAUCCAAAACUGGGAAAGGCCAAACUCAAAAAGAGAAUUGAUCCGGAAAUCAGUGAUGGGAUGAACGGACUCAUUUAUAUUUCAGAUAAGACAAUGUUUUCUUUUGAGAUUUAUUCACCUGUCGAGGGCAUGGAAGCAAUAACUCAAAACAAAACCAUGUGAGGAAUUAGAUCCACGUAUUUCAAAGCUCCUUCUAUCCAAACUCAUAUUGCCAGACUACCAGAUGGCAUCACCUUACCCAAUAAGUCCAUCAGCAAAAAACAUAUUCCACCAGUGCCAGGACUGUGGCAUGAGACAUUGAUAUCAAAGAGGCAAGCGCAUCUCAAUAGGCCUAUUCCUCAUGCAAUUGAGGGUCAUCUUCUAUUGAAAUUGGCUCACAAACUCGUAACAAAUUACUACGGCGAAAAGAUGAAGCAAGAUUCGGUAAGACUCGACAAGAAAGCAUUUGAUGAUAAAUGCAACAAGAAGCUCAAGGAGCUAACAACCACUAUCAGCAUUCUUGGGAAGAGAAAAUGCAGGGGCCAAGAACAUAACCAAAACACCAACAAAAGGAGGCAUCACAAAACUAAGGGAACAAAUAGACGCAAACGUAGAAGGAACUAGUUUGAUUUUGUUGUACAUUUGUUAUUGAACCUAUAAAUUAUCUGCUCCAUCACAAAACUAAGGUUACAUUCUUUAUUCUUGCCAUCAGGAAACGAUGUCGAGCAAUUUCAUUACUUUGCUCUUUUUUGUUGCACUGAAAUUAACUUUAAAUGCAUCACUUAAAUUUGAUCA